GAUGAACGCUGGCGGCGUGCCUAAUACAUGCAAGUCGAGCGAACAGACGAGGAGCUUGCUCCUCUGACGUUAACGGCGGACGGGGGAGUAACACGUGGAUAACCUACCUCUAAGACUGGGAUAACUUCGGGAAACCGGAGCUAAUACCGGAUAAUAUAUUGAACCGCAUGGUUCAAUAGUGAAAGACGGUUUUGCUGUCACUUAUAGAUGGAUCCGCGCCGCAUUAGCUAGUUGGUAAGGUAACGGCUUACCAAGGCGACGAUGCGUAGCCGACCUGAGAGGGUGAUCGGCCACACUGGAACUGAGACACGGUCCAGACUCCUACGGGAGGCAGCAGUAGGGAAUCUUCCGCAAUGGGCGAAAGCCUGACGGAGCAACGCCGCGUGAGUGAUGAAGGUCUUCUGAUCGUAAAACUCUGUUAUUAGGGAAGAACAAAUGUGUAAGUAACUAUGCACGUCUUGACGGUACCUAAUCAGAAAGCCACGGCUAACUACGUG
rnacentral:rRNA from 1 species